GACGAAGGGGGCUAGCGUUGUUCGGAAUUACUGGGCGUAAAGCGAGUGUAGGUGGUUGUCACAGUCAGGUGUGAAAGCCUUGAGCUCAACUCAAGAAAUGCACUUGAUACUAGGCGACUAGAGGACCGGAGAGGAUAGUGGAAUUCCCAGUGUAGUGGUGAAAUACGUAGAGAUUGGGAAGAACACCAGUGGCGAAGGCGGCUAUCUGGACGGUUCUGACACUAAGACUCGAAAGCGUGGGAGCAAACAGG
rnacentral:rRNA from 1 species